CAUUCUUGAUGAAAUGAUCAAAGCUAAUAAAAGAAAAUUCAAUGAUCAUAUUAAAAACUCAAAAGAAGCAUAAAAAAGAUACAGCUGAUGAUGUUCGCCAUAUAAAUGAUCAAGGGCAGCUUUUAUGACUUUUGAGCUAAUACAAUUGCAGCAUUCAAAUGAAUUUAAGGCUCUAGCGGAUGACACAAUCACACCAUCUAACAAAAUAGGCUUUUCCUA
rnacentral:lncRNA from 1 species